rnacentral:piRNA from 1 species
AGUCAGUGUACAAGAUGGACCCACUAC